rnacentral:lncRNA from 1 species
AAGGGGACCCAAUACAGAGUAAGCUUAACUCUCAUUAAGUAGUUGCAUGCAUUCACUUCAAAACAGCUUAGUAUCUAGAUAUAUCAGCUUAAGUAUACAUCACCAUUAGAGGGGCUUGGUUGUGUCCUCACUGCACGUGACUGGGGGAACUCUGGCAGUCGGCAUGGAGGGACCCUCUCUGGGAACAGCAGAGACCAGCAACACGCGACCGCAUUGCAGGUGGGUAGUUCUCCAAGUGAGUGCCAAGUUUCUCCGUCUUUUAUACCUUUUAGCAAGUUUGUAACUUUUCCAAGAUUU